rnacentral:rRNA from 2 species
GAAACGACUCUCGGCAACGGAUAUCUCGGCUCUCGCAUCGAUGAAGAACGUAGCAAAAUGCGAUACCUGGUGUGAAUUGCAGAAUCCCGCGAACCAUCGAGUUUUUGAACGCAAGUUGCGCCCGAGGUCUUCUGGCCGAGGGCACGCCUGCCUGGGCGUCACGCC